AUUGAACGCUGGCGGCAGGCCUAACACAUGCAAGUCGAACGAGUGGCGGACGGGUGAGUAAUGUCUGGGAAACUGCCCGAUGGAGGGGGAUAACUACUGGAAACGGUAGCUAAUACCGCAUACCAUCGGAUGUGCCCAGAUGGGAUUAGCUAGUAGGUGGGGUAACGGCUCACCUAGGCGACGAUCCCUAGCUGGUCUGAGAGGAUGACAAGCCACACUGGAAAUGAGACACGGUCAAGACUCCUACGGGAGGCAGCAGUGGGGAAUAUUGCACAAUGGGCGCAAGACUGAUGCAGCCAUGCCGCGUGGAUGAAGAAGGACUUCGGGUUGUAAAGUACUUUCAGCGAGGAGGCGUUACUCGCAGAAGAAGCACCGGCUAACUCCGUGCCAGCCGCCGCGGUAAUUC
rnacentral:rRNA from 1 species